rnacentral:tRNA from 1 species
UAGUUCAGUCGGUUAGAAUACCGGCCUGUCACGCCGGGGGUCGCGGGUUCGAGUCCCGU